rnacentral:sRNA from 1 species
GCAGCAGCAGCAGCAGCUGCAGCAUCGAGCAGAGGAAGCCGGCGACUAGCAGAGAUAACGGUCAUUCCCAUUGCCAUUUCCAUCGCCGCGAAGCGGCAGUUGCCACAGCAGCCGCUGCCUCGCUUGCAGUCAAAUCGACAUGCCAGGCAGAGGAACUGCACAUUGCAUGCAAUCGUUUGGCAGGAUCACACAAAACAGUUCUUAGAGGGAAUGACGCAGGCAUUUCUUUUGCAGCGUUGGAC